CUGGUCUUGACAUCCACAGAACUUUCCAGAGAUGGAUUGGUGCCUUCGGGAACUGUGAGACAGGUGCUGCAUGGCUGUCGUCAGCUCGUGUUGUGAAAUGUUGGGUUAAGUCCCGCAACGAGCGCAACCCUUAUCCUUUGUUGCCAGCGGUCCGGCCGGGAACUCAAAGGAGACUGCCAGUGAUAAACUGGAGGAAGGUGGGGAUGACGUCAAGUCAUCAUGGCCCUUACGACCAGGGCUACACACGUGCUACAAUGGCGCAUACAAGGAGAAGCAAUCUCGCGAGAGCAAGCGGACCUCAUAAAGUGCGUCGUAGUCCGGAUUGGAGUCUGCAACUCGACUCCAUGAAGUCGGAAUCGCUAGUAAUCGUGAAUCAGAAUGUCACGGUGAAUACGUUCCC
rnacentral:rRNA from 1 species